GAUGAACGCUGGCGGCGUGCCUAAUACAUGCAAGUCGAGCGAACGGACGAGAAGCUUGCUUCUCUGAUGUUAGCGGCGGACGGGUGAGUAACACGUGGAUAACCUACCUAUAAGACUGGGAUAACUUCGGGAAACCGGAGCUAAUACCGGAUAAUAUUUUGAACCGCAUGGUUCAAAAGUGAAAGACGGUCUUGCUGUCACUUAUAGAUGGAUCCGCGCUGCAUUAGCUAGUUGGUAAGGUAACGGCUUACCAAGGCAACGAUGCAUAGCCGACCUGAGAGGGUGAUCGGCCACACUGGAACUGAGACACGGUCCAGACUCCUACGGGAGGCAGCAGUAGGGAAUCUUCCGCAAUGGGCGAAAGCCUGACGGAGCAACGCCGCGUGAGUGAUGAAGGUCUUCGGAUCGUAAAACUCUGUUAUUAGGGAAGAACAUAUGUGUAAGUAACUGUGCACAUCUUGACGGUACCUAAUCAGAAAGCCACGGCUAACUACGUGCCAGCAGCCGCGGUAAUACGUAGGUGGCAAGCGUUAUCCGGAAUUAUUGGGCGUAAAGCGCGCGUAGGCGGUUUUUUAAGUCUGAUGUGAAAGCCCACGGCUCAACCGUGGAGGGUCAUUGGAAACUGGAAAACUUGAGUGCAGAAGAGGAAAGUGGAAUUCCAUGUGUAGCGGUGAAAUGCGCAGAGAUAUGGAGGAACACCAGUGGCGAAGGCGACUUUCUGGUCUGUAACUGACGCUGAUGUGCGAAAGCGUGGGGAUCAAACAGGAUUAGAUACCCUGGUAGUCCACGCCGUAAACGAUGAGUGCUAAGUGUUAGGGGGUUUCCGCCCCUUAGUGCUGCAGCUAACGCAUUAAGCACUCCGCCUGGGGAGUACGACCGCAAGGUUGAAACUCAAAGGAAUUGACGGGGACCCGCACAAGCGGUGGAGCAUGUGGUUCAAUUCGAAGCAACGCGAAGAACCUUACCAAAUCUUGACAUCCUUUGACAACUCUAGAGAUAGAGCUUUCCCCUUCGGGGGACAAGGUGACAGGUGGUGCAUGGUUGUCGUCAGCUCGUGUCGUGAGAUGUUGGGUUAAGUCCCGCAACGAGCGCAACCCUUAAGCUUAGUUGCCAUCAUUAAGUUGGGCACUCUAAGUUGACUGCCGGUGACAAACCGGAGGAAGGUGGGGAUGACGUCAAAUCAUCAUGCCCCUUAUGAUUUGGGCUACACACGUGCUACAAUGGACAAUACAAAGGGCAGCGAAACCGCGAGGUCAAGCAAAUCCCAUAAAGUUGUUCUCAGUUCGGAUUGUAGUCUGCAACUCGACUACAUGAAGCUGGAAUCGCUAGUAAUCGUAGAUCAGCAUGCUACGGUGAAUACGUUCCCGGGUCU
rnacentral:rRNA from 1 species